GAUUUAUUAGAACUGAAAGAAGAUGUGAGCAACGACCCUUGAGAGGUCUUCAGAAGACUAAAACUAGGAGUUCACAUUCCAUCAGUAUUCUGUUUCUGUCAUCUGCUAGAGAAGCAGAGUGUUGCCCUAAUUCUUCCAGACCAGCUCUUCCCACGUGCUAGGGACUUGGCCACUAGCAGCUCCAGACUCACCAUCUUACGGAUUUCUGAUUAUGUAACACAACAGGCCUGGCUUGGACUGUGUGCCCAUCAUUGCCAAGGAGAGGGGGAAUGGAUUUUCUUCUGUGUAUUGCUGACACGAACAGGAGACGGAAAUACUGAGUAGAAGAGGGCGGUUCCCUGGCUAAGGCCCCACCCUCAAGCCUGGAUACCCGCGGCCCUAAAUGAGAAGAGGCGUUUCUGUUUGGGGCCCAAAAAGUUGCUUUUUGACCCACCACGCCCCCUAUCCUGCCCCCAUAUAAACCCCAAACCCCAACCUCCAGAGCAUACCAGCAGGUGAGGAGAUACGAGGCAAGCCGACUGACGGCAAAACGACGUAGCAGAGAAAGAGAGAAGAGGAGGGACGUCUGGACACCGAGAGAUGUUUGGCUCGGGGCAGUCAGAGCGGAGUCCAGCCCCUGGGCGGCCCAACUCCAGGGGAAGAUCACCUUCCCACUUCAUCCAUCCCCACCCUUCCAGCUCCCCAUCCAUCCUGCUGAAAGCCAUUUCCACCACUCAAUAAAACCUCGCAUUCAUCCUUCAAGUCCGUGUGUGACCCGAUUUUUCCUGGAUUCUGGAAAAGAGCUCGGAAUACAGAAAGCUGUCCCCUGGUCCUUUGCCCUUGUGAAAAAGCAGAAGGUCCAUUGAGCUGGUUAACACUCCAGCUGUCUGUGGUGGCCAAGCUGAAAGAGCUUUGUAACACUGGGGUUGCAGGCACCCACCUCUAGACGCUACCGCAGAGCCAGAGCCCAAAGCCCUCACCCCGGCCUCUGCACUUGCCCAUCUGCGUGCUCCCCCUCUCGCAAGGGGUUUCUGCAGAGGGGGCUACUGAACAGGUGAGCCACACCCCUGUCGCACGCCCUGCAAGGGGAAUCAGGGAACUCUUCCGUUUCAUUGCUUUGACCACAUCCUAUAAAUCUUGUUCUCCUUGUCUUUCAGCUCCAAUUUGUUUAUACAUUCAGUUUUUACUUUUGACUUUACUCAUGAUUUAUUAUAGAAAGAUGUUUAACAAUUUUCAAGCAAAUGGAAUAAUUUUUGCUCCUCUUUCGUUGUUAAUUUAUUAUUCAUUGGAGUUAGAAAAUUGUUGCUAAAAUAAAUUC
rnacentral:lncRNA from 1 species